AGUGAGGUUAGGGGGAGGGGGUCAGGCAGAUGCCUGGGGGGGCGGUGUAAGAAGUCUUUCCAGAGUGCCCUCUGGCAGGGUUGAAGAUCCAGGAUUCCAGCGCAGAAGCCAGAUGUGGUACCUCAGCUGGGAAGGGGAGUUCAGAGGGGUUUUUCAACCAAGGGAUCAGCUUAUUCUCACCGAGUCAGGGCCCACCGACCCCAGUGAAUGGAGUGAGUAAGGUUAUCGCCAGGGGAAGUGAGAUAGAGACCUGGGGGGGGGGGGAGUCCCUUCUGCUGAUGUCCCUUCAGACAGACCCUGAGUUUGUGCUCCAACCUCUCAGAACAGCCCUACGGACCCCCAGGGUGGGAGAGUAGAGGGCUGAUUCCUGCAGAGGGAUCUCUCUCUCUCUCUCUUUU